UUUGUCUCAUAAUUGCAACACAUCAACCCUAAUUAUUCAUCACACAACGGCAGUAGCAAGACCCCUGUUUCUGUUUCGGUUUACAUCACAACUAGUCGGAUUUCUGGGUAAAUGUUAGGCGUUUAUGAACAGACAGUUAAGCGAGUAAAUAAUCUUACCGAGCAAAACCAAGGUCCAGGUAUCUUGGAUUUGGGAACUUGCUGUCUGGAAUAGCUGGAGUGGUCAUGG
rnacentral:lncRNA from 1 species